CAUUGCGGCAGUCUUACACAUGCAGUCGAGCGGUAGCACAGGGGAAGCUUGCUCCCCGGGAUGACGAAGCGGCGGACGGGUGAGUAAUGUCUGGGAAACUGCCUGAUGGAGGGGGAUAACUACUGGAAACGGUAGCUAAUACCGCAUAACGUCGCAAGACCAAAGAGGGGGACCUUCGGGCCUCUUGCCAUCAGAUGUGCCCAGAUGGGAUUAGCUAGUAGGUGGGGUAAUGGCUCACCUAGGCCACGAUCCCUAGCUGGUCUGAGAGGAUGACCAGCCACACUGGAACUGAGACACGGUCCAAACUCCUACGGGAGGCAGCAGUGGGGAAUAUUGCACAAUGGGCGCAAGCCUGAUGCAGCCAUGCCGCGUGUGUGAAGAAGGCCUUCGGGUUGUAAAGCACUUUCAGCGAGUGAGGAAGGUGGUGAGCUUAAUACGCUCAUCAAUGUGACGUUACUCGACAGAACAAGCACCGGAUAACUCCGUGCCAGCAGCCGCGGUAAUACGGAGGGUGCAAGCGUUAAUCGGAAUUACUGGGCGUAAAGCGCACGCAGGCGGUUUGAUUAAGUCACAUGUGAAAUCGCUCGGGCAUCACCCUGGGGAACUGCAUUUGAAACUGUGCAAGACUAGAGUCUCGUGAGAUGG
rnacentral:rRNA from 1 species